AAAUCUUUUAAAAAAAGAUUCUCUCUCUCUGCCUCUCCUCUUUCUGUACAACUCUGACUUUCAAAUAAAUAAAUAUUUUAAAAAAACCAAUUCUAUAAAAUAAUUAGAUCAAUACCAUCCCUUUCUCCCGGCAGACGCAGCCCUGGCCGGGGCCUCCCACAGCCCCGAGGAGUGCACACUGGACCAUCUGAUUCUCCCUUAGCUGCCCACCGGCUGUCGCCUGCCAUCCUGAAGGAUUCCAGCCACUGAUCCACGCAAAGCCCCUUUGGUAAUCCAGAGCUACUGCCUCUUUCAUUUCUCUGCUGCUACCAAUAAAGGCAGAGCCAACUCAAUUCAGCCAAGAUUCACAGAGCACCGACAAGUGUAAAAGACUUGUGCCAGCUUUGUCUCCACAGGUGGAUCCAACAGAUACGUCUGCUUAUUCCUGUGAGCCAACUGAAGAUCUAAAAUACCUCUUCAAAAGGCAGAAGGAUAAGUAGAACUCUUGUCCUCGCCAUGUCGAAAUUCUGCAAUUCAGUGCCCACCUGAACCCAGCAACUUCUGAGAAUACUGAUGACCAUGCAGGGGACACAGACGAUGGUGGUGACUGAAAGAGCUCCAGCUCAUGAAACAAACUCAUUAGACGAGAUAGGCAGAGACUUCCAGACCGAGAACAGGCGGGGUCUGUGCCUCUAAUAAGCAGGAAGCAGCUACAGAAGAUGGUGACUCGACGCCCAUCAACAUCCCCUUAAGAUUAAGGUCUGGAGUCUCUGAGGGGGGAAUGAAGUAGACAGGCUAAAACCGAUUAGGUUUGUGAGCUGGAAGACCACGCCUUUGCCAUGCCCCUGUGUGACCUCACACCCUACCUGAUACCCUCACCAUGUCCCCGUGUGACAUCAUGCUCCCCCUGGCCAUACCUGAGCACCCACCUGCCCACAAGCCACGCCCCUGUGAGAAAUAUAUAAAAGGCAAGGAGCGUCCCAAAAGGCUCUCUGCCUCUGCUUUGCUGCCGGUGAUAAGCGGUGGAUAGCAGCUCAAGGCACUUGCUGCACGUGGCUUCUGGCCUGCUCUCUGCUUGGUAUGGACGCAAUCUUAGUUUCCAGAUUUCCCCUCUCUAAACUGAACUAAAGCCCUCACUUUCCUAC